UACGUAGGGGGCUAGCGUUGUCCGGAAUCAUUGGGCGUAAAGAGCGUGUAGGCGGCUCGGUAAGUCCGCUGUGAAAGUCCAGGGCUCAACCCUGGAAUGCCAGUGGAAACUGUCGAGCUAGAGUCCGGAAGAGGCGAGUGGAAUUCCUGGUGUAGCGGUGAAAUGCGCAGAUAUCAGGAGGAACACCAAUGGCGAAGGCAGUACUCUGGGACGUGACUGACGCUGAGACGCGAAAGCGUGGGGAGCAAACAGG
rnacentral:rRNA from 1 species